rnacentral:rRNA from 1 species
AGAGUUUGAUCCUGGCUCAGAUUGAACGCUGGCGGCAUGCCUUACACAUGCAAGUCCAACGGUAACGGGCCUUCGGGUGCCGACGAGUGGCGAACGGGUGAGUAAUGUAUCGGAACGUACCUUUCAGUGGGGGAUAACGUAGCGAAAGUUACGCUAAUACCGCAUAUUCUGUGAGCAGGAAAGCAGGGGAUCGCAAGACCUUGCGCUGAUUGAGCGGCCGAUAUCAGAUUAGCUAGUUGGUGAGGUAAAGGCUCACCAAGGCGACGAUCUGUAGCGGGUCUGAGAGGAUGAUCCGCCACACUGGAACUGAGACACGGUCCAGACUCCUACGGGAGGCAGCAGUGGGGAAUUUUGGACAAUGGGGGCAACCCUGAUCCAGCCAUGCCGCGUGAGUGAAGAAGGCCUUCGGGUUUGUAAAGCUCUUUCGGCCGGGAAAGAAAUCGUAUGGGGUUAAUACCCUGUGCGGAUGACGGUACCGGCAUAAGAAGCACCGGCUAACUACGUGCCAGCAGCCGCGGUAAUACGUAGGGUGCGAGCGUUAAUCGGAAUUACUGGGCGUAAAGCGUGCGCAGGCGGUUUUGUAAGACAGGCGUGAAAUCCCCGGGCUCAACCUGGGAACUGCGCUUGUGACUGCAAGGCUAGAGUACGGCAGAGGGAGGUGGAAUUCCACGUGUAGCAGUGAAAUGCGUAGAGAUGUGAAGGAACACCAAUGGCGAAGGCAGCCCCCUGGGUCGAUACUGACGCUCAUGCACGAAAGCGUGGGUAGCAAACAGGAUUAGAUACCCUGGUAGUCCACGCCCUA